ACCUCUUUAUACUGUUCAUCUUCCCCCUACUCUUUCAGUCCAGAUGAAGGGUCACGACCCAAAACAU